CCCUUAGACGUUCUGGGCCGCACGCGCGCUACACUGACCAGUGCAACAAGCAUCCGUCCUUGGCCGACAGGCCCGGGCAAUCUUUGAACGCUGGUCGUGAUGGGGAUAGACUUUUGCAAUUUUUGGUCUUCAACGAGGAAUUCCUAGUAAACGCAAGUCAUCAACUUGCAUUGAUUACGUCCCUGCCCUUUGUACACACCGCCCGUCGCACCUACCGAUUGAAUGGUCCGGUGAAGCCUCCGGAUUGGCGCGCACCUCGGUGCCGCCGAGAAGUUGGCUAAACCUUACCAUUUAGAGGAAGGUGANGUCGUNACA
rnacentral:rRNA from 1 species